UACGUAGGGGGCAAGCGUUAUCCGGAAUUACUGGGUGUAAAGGGAGCGUAGACGGCUGAGCAAGCCUGAAGUGAAAGGCGGGGGCCCAACCCCUGGACUGCUUUGGGAACUGUACGGCUGGAGUGCAGGAGAGGUAAGUGGAAUUCCUAGUGUAGCGGUGAAAUCCGUAGAUAUCUGGAGGAACAUCAGUGGCGAAGGCGGCCACCUGGACCGGUAUUGACGCUGAGGCGCGAAAGCGUGGGGAGCAAACAGG
rnacentral:rRNA from 1 species